AUUGAACGCUGGCGGCAGGCCUAACACAUGCACGUCGAACGAGUGGCGGACUGGUGAGUAAUGUCUGGGAAACUGCCUGCUGGAGGGGGAUAACUACUGGAAACGGUAGAUAAUACCGCAUACCAGCAGCUGUACCCAGAUGGGAUGAGAUUGUUGGUGGGGUAAAGGCUCACCAAGACGAAGAUCCCUAGCUGGCCUGUGAGGAUGACCAUCCAAACUGGAAAUGAGAAACGGUCCAGAGUCCGACGUGAGGAAGGAGUGGGAAAUAUUGCAAACUGGGCGCAAGCCUGAUGCAGCCAUGCCGCGUAUAUGAAGAAGGCCUUCGGGUUGUAAAGCACUUUCAGCGGGUAGGCGUUACACGCAGAAGAAGAACCGGCUAACUCCGUGCGAGCCGCGGCGGUGAUAC
rnacentral:rRNA from 1 species